CAGUCGAGCGGACAGAAGGGAGCUUGCUCCCGGAUGUUAGCGGCGGACGGGUGAGUAACACGUGGGUAACCUGCCUGUAAGACUGGGAUAACUCCGGGAAACCGGAGCUAAUACCGGAUAGUUCCUUGAACCGCAAGGUUCAAGGAUGAAAGACGGUUUCGGCUGUCACUUACGGAUGGACCCGCGGCGCAUAGCUAGUUGGUGAGGUAACGGCUCACCAAGGCGACAAUGCGUAGCCGACCUGAGAGGGUGAUCGGCCACACUGGGACUGAGACACGGCCCAGACUCCUACGGGAGGCAGCAGUAGGGAAUCUUCCGCAAUGGACGAAAGUCUGACGGAGCAACGCCGCGUGAGUGAUGAAGGUUUUCGGAUCGUAAAGCUCUGUUGUUAGGGAAGAACAAGUGCAAGAGUAACUGCUUGCACCUUGACGGUACCUAACCAGAACGCCACGGCUAACUACGUGCCAGCAACCGCGGUAAUACGUAGGUGGCAAGCGUUGUCCGGAAUUAUUGGGCGUAAAGGGCUCGCAGGCGGUUUCUUAAGUCUGAUGUGAAAGCCCCCGGCUCAACCGGGGAGGGUCAUUGGAAACUGGGAAACUUGAGUGCAGAAGAGGAGAGUGGAAUUCCACGUGUAGCGGUGAAAUGCGUAGAGAUGUGGAGGAACACCAGUGGCGAACGCGACUCUCUGGUCUGUAACUGACGCUGAGGAGCGAAAGCGUGGGGAGCGAACAGGAUUAGAUACCCUGGUAGUCCACGCCGUANACGAUGAGUGCUAAGUGUUAGGGGGUUUCCGCCCCUUAGUGCUGCAGCUAACGCAUUAAGCACUCC
rnacentral:rRNA from 1 species